GGAGACGUGGCUGAGUGGUUGAAAGCGGCACCGUGCUAAGGUGUUAGGGGAGCAAUCCCCUCGUGAGUUCGAAUCUCACCGUCUCCG
rnacentral:tRNA from 1 species